UGUAUAUUCCUUACGUGUUUUACAGGUGUAAACUUUUGUAAGAUUCCUUACACAGGUAUUGACUUACAACUAGAAAUGUUUUCAGCAAGGGAAAAAUACCAGUCUAAUUUUUGUUUUCUUCUGGUGCUUUAUAGGAAGAGAAGUACUUGCUUAUCUUAUUGGGCAUAUGAAGAGUCCAAAGAAUUUAAUGGUUACUUUACAUCUUGGGAAAUUGCAGAUUACAACAUGCAUCUAGCUGAAAACUAACUCUGGAUUAAUAUAUAAUGUUUCAGAAUGUAUUGGCGAUAAAAAAGAAACAUUUUUAUUUAUACAUUUGGCAAAAGUUCUAAAAACAAACAAACAAACAAAUAAACAAACAAAAAAGUGUCAGAGAGCAAGAGGGAAUGAAGUAAACAACUUAUAUAUCUUUUUUAAAAGUACUUGAACACAGUGAAAUAGAAGGCUCCAUAAUGAGAUUAUUCAAUGCUGAUGAGGCCACACCUGGAGUACUGUCUGGUUCCGGGCUCCCAAGUACAAAAGGGACAUGGACAUACUGGAGAGAGUCCAACAAAGGGCAACAGAAACUAUGAAGGGACUAGAACAUUUCUCCUGUGAGGGAAGGCUGAGAGAUCUGGGACUGACUCUUCACCUUCUAGAAGGCUGAAUAGAAGAAAUAGAAGGUUCUGUCUGAAUAUCAGAAAACACUUCUUUUGCUGUACAGAUGACAGAGCACUGGCACAGGUUGCCUGGAGGGGUUGUGGAGUCUCCUACUUGGAGAUCUUCAAAAAACCUCUGGGCAUUGUGGUGGACAAGCUGCCCUAGGUGUCGCUGCUUGAACAGGGGGUUGGACUAGAUGAAUUCCAGAGGUCUUUUCCAGCCUCAGCCAUUCUGUCAUUGUGUGAGAUGAAGGAAGGAAGAAUCUCAUAAAUUUAUCUCUGUCUUAUGUGGUGUCCUCUGAGGCAAUCAGAUGAGAAGUCCUUAUGCCCAAGGAUUGCUUACUGUCCUUCAGUGAAUGAGAGCGUGCUGCCUACUGAGGAGAGAAGAACAAGUGAAAGAUGCCACUUUUUGGUAUUUGCUGGUACAGGAAAGAAAAUGUUGAAGUCCAGAGCUAGGAAAAACAUAACUGGAACUUUUCAGCAGCUACCUUGUUCAAAGUGUUUAGUGUUUAAAGCUGCAUGACUUUGAUCAGGAAGACUGAGAACAUUUUACCAGAGACUCUGUGGGAGAAAACUUCAUCAUCUUUUCCCCAUCCCAUGUAUUUGCAGUUGAAUGCUGGUCAUCAUGUGUUUGUAUUACAGUAUCUGUAGGUCUUGUGAAAAAGAGGGAUGGAAGCUGUUAUCUUUUUGUGAAAGUGAAUACAGGAGGACAUCUAUACAGCAGAGGCUGGGGAAAGAGGGCAGAAUGACAGAGAAUGCCAGAAGAAGGAAUGAGGAGAUCUGUAGUAAUUGCUGAAAAUGCUGGUAACAUUAUCUAUAUAGAGCACUGUAGUAUGCAAGGCAUGUUAUGGCAGUGGAUAGGCUAAUAAAGUAUGUUUGAAUUAUUAAAUUUACUUAUCU
rnacentral:lncRNA from 1 species